rnacentral:rRNA from 1 species
AGUGAACGCUGGCGGUAGGCCUAACACAUGCAAGUCGAACGGCAGCACAGUAAGAGCUUGCUCUUACGGGUGGCGAGUGGCGGACGGGUGAGGAAUACAUCGGAAUCUACUUUUUCGUGGGGGAUAACGUAGGGAAACUUACGCUAAUACCGCAUACGACCUACGGGUGAAAGCAGGGGAUCUUCGGACCUUGCGCGAUUGAAUGAGCCGAUGUCGGAUUAGCUAGUUGGCGGGGUAAAGGCCCACCAAGGCGACGAUCCGUAGCUGGUCUGAGAGGAUGACCAGCCACAUUGAACUGAGACACGGUCCAGACUCCUACGGGAGGCAGCAGUGGGGAAUAUUGGACAAUGGGCGCAAGCCUGAUCCAGCCAUACCGCGUGGGUGAAGAAGGCCUUCGGGUUGUAAAGCCCUUUUGUUGGGAAAGAAAAGCAGCAGGUUAAUACCCCGCUGUUCUGACGGUACCCAAAGAAUAAGCACCGGCUAACUUCGUG